rnacentral:rRNA from 1 species
UGUGAUGGGGAGCGAAAUUUAGUAGCGAAGUAGCUGAUUUCACACUGUCAAGAAAAGUCUCUAUCGAGGUUAAAGGUACCCGUACCGCAAACCGACACAGGUGGGUGAGGAGAGUAUCCUAAGGCCAGCGAGAGAACUGUUGUUAAGGAACUCGGCAAAAUGACCCCGUAACUUAGGGAUAAGGGGUGCCACCAUCAGGUGGCCGCAGAGAAUAGGCCCAAGCGACUGUUUACCAAAAACAUAGGUUUCUGCUAAGUCGCAAGACGAUGUAUAGGAGCUGACGCCUGCCCGGUGCUGGCAGGUUAAGGGGAUCUGUUAGAGUAAUCGAAGCAGUGAACUUAAGCCCCAGUAAACGGCGGCCGUAACUAUAACGGUCCUAAGGUAGCGAAAUUCCUUGUCGGGUAAGUUCCGACCCGCACGAAAGGCGUAACGAUUUGGGCACUGUCUCA